CCUACGUGUGGCUGCAGUGGGGAAUAUUGCACAAUGGGGGCAACCCUGAUGCAGCAAAGCCGCGUGAGUGAAGAAGUAUUUCGGUAUGUAAAGCUUCAUCAGCAGAGAAGUAGAUGACGGUACCUGAUUAUGUAGCCACGGCUAACUACGUGACAGAUGCCCCGGUAAUACGUAGGAGGCAAGCGUUAUCCGGAUUUACUGGGUGUAAAGGGAGCGCAGACGGGUGUGCAAGUCUGUAGUGAAAGCCCGGGGCCCAACCCCGGAACUGCUCUGGAUACUGUGCGGCUAGAGUACAGGAGGGGCAGGCGGAAUUCGUAGUGUAGCGGUGAAAUGCGUAGAUAUUAGGAGGAACACCAGUGGCGAAGGCAGCCUGCUAAACAGUAACUGACGUUGAGGCUCGAAAGCGUGGGGAGCAAACAGGAUUAGAUACCCUGGUAGUC
rnacentral:rRNA from 1 species